UACGGGGGGGGCAAGCGUUGUUCGGAAUUACUGGGCGUAAAGGGUUCGUAGGUGGCCCGGUCAGUUCGUGGUGAAAGCGCGGGGCUCAACCCUGCGUCGGCCAUGAAUACUGCCGCGGCUGGAGCACUGUAGAGGCAGGCGGAAUUCCGGGUGUAGCGGUGGAAUGCGUAGAGAUCCGGAAGAACACCGGUGGCGAAGGCGGCCUGCUGGGCAGUUGCUGACACUGAGGCGCGACAGCGUGGGGAGCAAACAGG
rnacentral:rRNA from 1 species